rnacentral:rRNA from 1 species
UUGAUCAUGGCUCAGAUUGAACGCUGGCGGCAGGCCUAACACAUGCAAGUCGAGCGGCAGCACAGAGAAACUUGUUUCUCGGGUGGCGAGCGGCGGACGGGUGAGUAAUGCCUGGGAAAUUGCCCUGAUGUGGGGGAUAACCAUUGGAAACGAUGGCUAAUACCGCAUGAUGCCUACGGGCCAAAGAGGGGGACCUUCGGGCCUCUCGCGUCAGGAUAUGCCCAGGUGGGAUUAGCUAGUUGGUGAGGUAAGGGCUCACCAAGGCGACGAUCCCUAGCUGGUCUGAGAGGAUGAUCAGCCACACUGGAACUGAGACACGGUCCAGACUCCUACGGGAGGCAGCAGUGGGGAAUAUUGCACAAUGGGCGCAAGCCUGAUGCAGCCAUGCCGCGUGUGUGAAGAAGGCCUUCGGGUUGUAAAGCACUU